AGCGAACGCUGGCGGCAGGCCUAACACAUGCAAGUCGAACGAACCCUUCGGGGUUAGCGGCGGACGGGUGAGUAACACGUGGGAACGUGCCUUUAGGUUCGGAAUAACUCAGGGAAACUUGUGCUAAUACCGAAUGUGCCCUUCGGGGGAAAGAUUUAUCGCCUUUAGAGCGGCCCGCGUCUGAUUAGCUAGUUGGUGGGGUAAUGGCCCACCAAGGCUACGAUCAGUAGCUGGUCUGAGAGGAUGACCAGCCACAUUGGGACUGAGACACGGCCCAAACUCCGACGGGAGGCAGCAGUGGGGAAUCUUGCGCAAUGGGCGAAAGCCUGACGCAGCCAUGCCGCGUGGAUGAUGAAGGUCUUAGGAUUGUAAAAUCCUUUCACCGGUGAAGAUAAUGACUGUAGCCGGAGAAGAAGCCCCGGCUAACUUCGUGCCAGCAGCCGCCGUAAUAC
rnacentral:rRNA from 1 species